AUGCGCUGCCGUCCCGGCUCGCCUCCGCGCCGCCAACUGCUAUUGCUGCCCAGGCCCGCACCACGGCUUCCCGACGGGGCAUGGCCCCUCUGCUCGCUCCUGUCCCUCGCCAGAUGCACGCGCAGGAGCGGCCUCUGCUCUUCUUCGCCCGAGCCGGACUGCGUCGCUAAUGCGCCUCUGCUCCGCGGCUCCCCUCCGUGGCCGCCCUCGGGUCCGCUCGUGGCCGGGUCGCCUGCGCCGUUGCCCUCUCGCGCGCAGGGCCCCUGCCGCGCGGCUCCGCGCUCCAGGCCUCCGACUGCCCGGCUGCUCCUGCCGGCUCCCCGUCCGACUGCUCUGCCUGGCCGACUGCCGGCCCGCUCGCCUCCGCCCACGCGUAUGCGCUGCCGUCCCGGCUCGCCUAAUGCGCCUCUGCUCCGCGGCUGCCCUCCGUGGCCGCCCUCGGGUCCGCUCGUGGCCGGGUCGCCUGCCGCGCCGGGCAGCUCGCCCCGACNNNNNNNNNNNNNNNNCUCCGCCUCUGCCCAGCUGCGCCUCGCGCGCUCGGCUCGGUGCGCCCGCGACCCGGCCCUGGCUGGCUCCGCCACUCGGCCCCCCUCGCCGCCACCUGGCCUCGCCGGCUAUAGCUCCCGCCGCAAGCGCCGUGGUGGGCUGUGCCCCGCCGGGUCACCGCUCCGGCCGUCUGCUGUGGCCGACACCUGA
rnacentral:rRNA from 1 species